rnacentral:rRNA from 1 species
CCUACGGGGUGCUGCAGUGGGGAAUAUUGGACAAUGGGCGAAAGCCUGAUCCAGCCAUGCCGCGUGUGUGAAGAAGGCCUUCGGGUUGUAAAGCACUUUCAGUGGGGAAGAAAGCCUUGGGGCUAAUACCCUCGAGGAAGGACAUCACCCACAGAAGAAGCACCGGCUAACUCCGUGCCAGCAGCCGCGGUAAUACUGAGGGUGCGAGCGUUAAUCGGAAUUACUGGGCGUAAAGCGCGCGUAGGCGGUCUGAUAAGCCGGUUGUGAAAGCCCCGGGCUCAACCUGGGAACGGCAUCCGGAACUGUCAGGCUAGAGUGCAGGAGAGGAAGGUAGAAUUCCCGGUGUAGCGGUGAAAUGCGUAGAGAUCGGGAGGAAUACCAGUGGCGAAGGCGGCCUUCUGGACUGACACUGACGCUGAGGUGCGAAAGCGUGGGUAGCAAACAGGAUUAGAUACCCGUGUAGUC